AUUGUCGAUGAUGAUGAUCUUUUAACCCAAUGCUCGAGUUUAACGACCAUGAGAAAACUCACAUGCACUACCAUCUGAGACGGU